AAGUCCAGGAAUUCACCCCUGAAAAAGUACUUAUGAUUUUAUUCAAGUUGAUACAGACAAAAACUCAUUUGAUAACCAGGUACUAUUACAAGGCUUACUUGACAACAUUUGUAUGCUUCAGAUUCAGCUAAUACCUUCUAAACACCCGUGUCAAGACUAGACAAGUGAAUCUGAAUGUAUGAAGUUAGCUAAGUGAGGAGAUAUAUUUUGCCUUAAAGAAGUGGGGAGUAACAGUCAAGUGGGGCCACUAACUAUGUGAGAACAGCCAGCCUACAUUUUCAGGUUUAAUUCAUAAUUUUUAAAUGUUGACUAAGCCAGGUGUUGGUAGCUCAUGCUUUUAUAAUCCUAACCACUCAGGAGAAAGAGACCUAGAGAAUUAAAGUUUGAAGACGGCCUUAGCAGAAAGUCUGUGAGGCUCUCAUCUCCAAUUAACCACCAAAAA